CCUACGGGAGGCUGCAGUGGGGAAUAUUGGACAAUGGGCGAAAGCCUGAUCCAGCCAUGCCGCGUGUGUGAAGAAGGCCUUCGGGUUGUAAAGCACUUUCAGUGGGGAAGAAAGCCUUGGGGCUAAUACCCUCGAGGAAGGACAUCACCCACAGAAGAAGCACCGGCUAACUCCGUGCCAGCAGCCGCGGUAAUACGGAGGGUGCGAGCGUUAAUCGGAAUUACUGGGCGUAAAGCGCGCGUAGGCGGUCUGAUAAGCCGGUUGUGAAAGCCCCGGGCUCAACCUGGGAACGGCAUCCGGAACUGUCAGGCUAGAGUGCAGGAGAGGAAGGUAGAAUUCCCGGUGUAGCGGUGAAAUGCGUAGAGAUCGGGAGGAAUACCAGUGGCGAAGGCGGCCUUCUGGACUGACACUGACGCGGAGGUGCGAAAGCGUGGGUAGCAAACAGGAUUAGAUACCCGGGUAGUC
rnacentral:rRNA from 1 species